UUUCCGCUCAUUUCAAUUGACAAAAAUAAAUUUUCCAUUUAUGGUUUCGUUGCACAUUCUCCUCCCUUCAAUUUUCGUACGUUACGCACAUCAGUGGUGGAGUUACCAAAACUAGUACUAUCUGUACCAUUCAAUCACGUCUAUUUUAAUUGAGUUCUCCUUCAACCUAAUCUCCUUUAAUCGAAAUAGAAAAAGAAAAAUUAACAGCUCCACGAUUUCUGCAGGUCAAUCCCGGGAGAAGACGACUGAUGGGGUUUUUGAUUUGUUAGUUUUUCGGAAUUUUUUUUUAUUUGUUCGACAGGUUUUGCUAAUUUUUGGAUGUAUUGUUCCAGAUUUUGUUUGUAGAGGGCAUAUUGAGAAAAGCGAUAGCAUCCAUCUCAGAAAUUUUGUUAAGAGAUCCAAUAUGAAACACUUUUGAGUUCUUGAUUGCCACUUUUGAGUUCUUGAUAGCAUCCCAUUUAAUAGGUUCUUCAAAUGGAUUCCCAGAUUCGCACCAACCCUUUCAAAACUCUUGCGGUAAGCAUGAAGCGCCUACAAAACCUUUCAAUUACAAAUUUACAAAUGUGAAGAAGGCAAACCAAAUGUAAUCAGUGAAAUCCUCAUCUUAGAGGUACUGCUGGUCCCCAUCUAUGUAAUCAGUGAAAUCCUUAAUUAAUUUGCAUCAAUCAAAGCCUUCAUCUUAACCUAAACAAAAUCUCCAGCCAUCAAUCAAAAUCCCCUUGCACCCAUAUGGCCAUAUCUCAAAUCUUCCGUUCUUAACCAACAAUGGUGUUGGUUACUGAUAAAUCCCUUGCACCCAUCUCUCAAAUUUGCAGUUCUUAAUCAACAAUGGUGUCGGUUACUAAUAAAUUCCUUGCACCCAUCUCACACACAUUCAGUUCUUAACCAACAAUGGUGUUGGUUACUGAAUAAACUUCCAAUCUUCAUCUUCAGAUGUUAAUCGGCAAAAAGGCUGGUUCCUGAUGAUCGCUUUGUUGUGGUCAGGGAGAUUGGCGGCGGCUAGAUUGGUAACGAUGAUAUUGAUUAGGGUUUGUAUCUGUUCUCAUGGGCUCCCUGACUUAAUGGGCAUUUCCAAAUGUCAUUUGGUUAUCUCACAGUUUCAGUUAGUACUUUGUAAUGGGCUCUCUGAACUCUUUGAGGUUGUGUUGUAAAGCUCCUUAGUCUCUCAAUAAGUCCAUUGAGACUUGAGAGUUGUCUUGUCUUUGUUUUUCAUUAUUGGGUCCGGUUGUAAUCUAUUCUUAUUUCUCCAAUAUAAUCCUCCUUUCACGAUCAAAAAAAAAGAAAAAAGAAGGCAAACCAAAUCUCUCAAAAGUGGAACAAAUUAGACUUGCUGGGGCCUAAUGAUGUGACCAGCUUGGAUGUGUUCAUGAUCGAUAACAAUCUAUCGAGUCUGGCGCAGGGUGAUGAACUGCAUGGGGUUGUCCCAAAGAACCUAAUCUGGAAAUUCGAAGCUUUUAUAAGAAUUGGUCACGUGUAUUCCCUAAACAUAUUAACGAUUCUUGGCGAGAUUUCGCAUUGACUGCCUCUUCUUCAAGUGGGGUACAGAAAUGAAGCCACUCUGCGGCAUUUAUGUGGAAAUUACUCAUCACGGGAUCGACUUUAGCCAGUAUGAAGAUCUGGAAUCGCGGGAAACCAACACUUAUCUAACCGAUGUUAUGGAUGCAUUAAUCAGUUUUACAAAUUUUCAAGAAAUGAGAACGGCCGACGGUAACCUUGAAAGACUGGAUUUUAUUCUUCAGAACUUUAGAUAUGCAUAUAUAAAAUUGCAAGAACUGUAUUCCGUAUUCUUUGAUACCUGUACCAUUGUUUAUCCACCGGCAACAAUGUGAAGAUAACCUUAUGGGGUGAGUCAGCGAACGAGAUAAGCCGUAAUACAGAAACGCAUGGAAUAGAGGAAACACCUGUGGUUGUUUCGGUCUCAUCGUCCUAUGUAAGAAAAAUGUCAAGGUAAAUCAUUUAAAAUACUUUUUGUGUGCUCCAAUUAAAUUGCUUGAGUUUAACCAGUGUUGUUAUUCAUGUUACCCUAUUUCUGACCUGGGAAGUACUCUUUGUCCUUCGCGAAUGCCACUAAGGUAUUCUUCAGUCUUAACAUUCCUGAGGUUCAUGGAAAUGAAACACUUGCAAAGGGGACUAUGAGUAGACCUUAAAAAUUAGAAAAUUAGGAUUAAGAGUACUUAAGAAAAUCAGCUAUGGGUUACUUAAAAUACAGUUUUCAGAACUAUUAACAGAAUGUAAUAGCUUGAAAUCCGAAAGGUUGUGUUUUUUCCAUGAAGGACUUCGUAAUAGAUAAAUGUCGACGGCAACGGAUUUCUAGCUGGACCACAUCAUUGUCAUGUUCAACCUCCUUUUUGAUGACACAUGAUUAGAAAAUUAAUAUCAAGGUUCCUAUGAGUGAAUCAGAUAAUCCAAUGUUAUUAUGAGUGAAUCAUACUCUAUCGAAUUAUUGAUAAAGCGGUGAAACUCAAAUGUUGGGUGCCACCGGCUGGUACUAUUUGGGUUGCAACAAGUGCACGACUAAAGUGGUUGGUGAACUCGGGGACUAUGGAUGCACCAAAUCUCAAAACAAGGUUGAGGAACCUGUGCCAUGGUAUCUUCUUCUUUUUGAGGUUACAGACCAUACCAUCCGCACCAUAUUUACUGCACUAGAUAGUGAAAUUUAACGGAUUAUCCGCGCAACUGCCUCGGACGUAGUGAUGAUGGGGGAGGUACACAACCAUUCGUUUCUCUUUACUAAAUUAGGCAUCGUUAAGUGAGUCAAACAAUUCCGACUGUGGACCCUUUUAAGUUUCAAAGUACCCAUGUUUAAAUGGGCACUAAGAAGAAGGAAAAUCUUAGUACGUUGGUUGCAGUUUUUGGAGAGAUCCUGAAUGUUGAAAUGAACUAGCAAAUAGCAUUUAUGAGUAAUUGAAUAUUGACUUCGGGUGACUAUGAUGGUGUCAGUGUCAUCAAGAGUGAACUUCGGUGACUGCCGUGGUGUCAGCAAGCAUAUGAAUAACAUUGAUGGGUCGUUGCUCUUUGUUUUUGUUGUUUUCGUAGUAUUUUGUUUCAUCAGUUUAUGUUUGUAGGUUAGCAGUUGCAGUGUGGCUGUAAUCUUAAAGCUAUAAGUUGUUCUCUUAACUUGGAUGUUCAGAAUACUGUAUUCCUGUGUCUACAAGAUAUUCUCCUCACUCCUUUUAGCAUUUGGUCAACCCUAUAGGUCUUUACAGCACAUAUUUUGAGAUUUAAUAUACGCGAUUUUUUAAAUGA